rnacentral:rRNA from 1 species
GAUGAACGCUAGCUACAGGCUUAACACAUGCAAGUCGAGGGGCAUCAGGGUAGCAAUACCGCUGGCGACCGGCGCACGGGUGAGUAACACGUAUCCAACCUUCCCUUCACACGGGGAUAGCCUUCCGAAAGGGAGAUUAAUACCCGAUGGUAUAAUAGUGCUGCAUGGCAUUAUUAUUAAAGAAUUUCGGUGUUGGAUGGGGAUGCGUUCCAUUAGAUUGUAGGUGAGGUAACGGCUCACCUAGUCUUCGAUGGAUAGGGGUUCUGAGAGGAAGGUCCCCCACACUGGUACUGAGACACGGACCAGACUCCUACGGGAGGCAGCAGUGAGGAAUAUUGGUCAAUGGGCGAGAGCCUGAACCAGCCAAGUAGCGUGAAGGAUGACUGCCCUAUGGGUUGUAAACUUCUUUUAUAUGGGAAUAAUUGACAUUACGUGUAGUGUUUUGUAUGUACCUUAUGAAUAAGCAUCGGCUAACUCCGUGCCAGCAGCCGCGGUAAUACGGAGGAUGCGAGCGUUAUCCGGAUUUAUUGGGUUUAAAGGGUGCGUAGGCGGGCUAUUAAGUCAGCUGUGAAAGUUUGCGGCUCAACCGUAAAAUUGCAGUUGAUACUGGUAGUCUUGAGUAUGUUAAAGGAAGGCGGAAUUCGUGGUGUAGCGGUGAAAUGCUUAGAUAUCACGAAGAACUCCGAUUGCGUAGGCAGCUUUCCGGGCCAUCACUGACGCUGAUGCACGAAAGUGUGGGUAUCAAACAGGAUUAGAUACCCUGGUAGUCCACACAGUAAACGAUGAAUACUCGCUGUUUGCGAUACACAGUAAGCGGCCAAGCGAAAGCAUUAAGUAUUCCACCUGGGGAGUACGCCGGCAACGGUGAAACUCAAAGGAAUUGACGGGGGCCCGCACAAGCGGAGGAACAUGUGGUUUAAUUCGAUGAUACGCGAGGAACCUUACCCGGGCUUGAAAUGCAAAGGAAUGACGCAGAGACGUGUCAGUCAGCAAUGACCUUUGUGUAGGUGCUGCAUGGUUGUCGUCAGCUCGUGCCGUGAGGUGUCGGCUUAAGUGCCAUAACGAGCGCAACCCUAAUCUUUAGUUACCAUCAGGUCAUGCUGGGAACUCUGAAGAGACUGCCGUCGUAAGAUGUGAGGAAGGUUGGGAUGACGUCAAAUCAGCACGGCCCUUACGUCCGGGGCUACACACGUGUUACAAUGGGGGGUACAACGAGUUGCUUGCCGGCGACGGUUGGCUAAUCUUCAAAACCUCUCUCAGUUCGGAUCGAAGUCUGCAACCCGACUUCGUGAAGCUGGAUUCGCUAGUAAUCGCGGAUCAGCAUGCCGCGGUGAAUACGUUCCCGGGCCUUGUACACACCGCCCGUCACACCAUGGAAGCCGGUAACACCCGAAGUCAGUAGCCUAACCUUAGGGAGGGCGCUGCCGAAGGUGGGAUUGGUA